GUGCCAGCAGCCGCGGUAAUACGAAGGGGGCUAGCGUUGUUCGGAAUUACUGGGCGUAAAGCGCGCGUAGGCGGUGAUCUUUGUCAGAGGUGAAAGCCCGGGGCUCAACUCCGGAAUUGCCUUUGAAACGGGAUCGCUAGAGUCCGAGAGAGGAUGGCGGAAUUCCUAGUGUAGAGGUGAAAUUCGUAGAUAUUAGGAAGAACACCGGUGGCGAAGGCGGCCAUCUGGCUCGGUACUGACGCUCAGGCGCGAAAGCGUGGGGAGCAAACAGGAUUAGAUACCCUGGUAGUCCACGCCGUAAACUAUGAAUGCUAGUUGUUAGGAAGUUUACUUCUUAGUGACGCAGCUAACGCGUUAAGCAUUCCGCCUGGGGAGUACGGUCGCAAGAUUAAAACUCAAAGGAAUUGGCGGGG
rnacentral:rRNA from 1 species